GGGUUGUGAGGUUAAGCGACUAAGCGUACACGGUGGAUGCCCUGGCAGUCAGAGGCGAUGAAGGACGUGCUAAUCUGCGAUAAGCGUCGGUAAGGUGAUAUGAACCGUUAUAACCGGCGAUUUCCGAAUGGGGAAACCCAGUGUGAUUCGUCACACUAUCAUUACGUGAAUACAUAGCGUAAUGAAGCGAACCGGGGGAACUGAAACAUCUAAGUACCCCGAGGAAAAGAAAUCAACCGAGAUUCCCCCAGUAGCGGCGAGCGAACGGGGAGCAGCCCACAGUCUGACUCAGCUCGUGAGUUAGUGGAACGGUCUGGACAGUCCGACGGUAACGGGUGAUAGUCCCGUACACCAAAAUGCACAGGAUUGUAACGCGCAGAGUAGGACGGGACACGUGGUAUCCUGUCUG
rnacentral:rRNA from 1 species